AUUGAACGCUGGCGGCAUGCCUUACACAUGCAAGUCGAACGGCAGCACGGGAGCAAUCCUGGUGGCGAGUGGCGAACGGGUGAGUAAUAUAUCGGAACGUGCCCAGUCGUGGGGAUAACGUAGCGAAAGCUACGCUAAUACCGCAUACGAUCUAUGGAUGAAAGCGGGGGAUCGCAAGACCUCGCGCGAUUGGAGCGGCCGAUAUCAGAUUAGGUAGUUGGUGAGGUAAGGCUCACCAAGCCGACGAUCUGUAGCUGGUCUGAGAGGACGACCAGCCACACUGGGACUGAGACACGGCCCAGACUCCUACGGGAGGCAGCAGUGGGGGAAUUUUGGACAAUGGGCGAAAGCCUGAUCCAGCAAUGCCGCGUGCAGGAAG
rnacentral:rRNA from 1 species